AGCAGAUACAGCAGCAAUACCAAUUGUCUGUAAUGCCGGUAUCUCGAAUCUGGACCACGCCGAGAUUUAAAGUAAACGCCGAGCGUGGAAGGUUAAUAGAAAUACGCCCGGGGUAAUACGGGAAAACUGGAGAAUGGCGCCCGAUGCUUAAGCCUUGUCGAGGAUCAACAGAGAGGUCAGAGGCCGGAGAUAAAAGAGAACGAGCCAGGGUAGAAACGUAGCGACGUACACGUGGACCAGCCGAGAGCCAAGAGGAGUAGAAGGGCGAGACAGCGUGUGCGGUUAAAGUGGAUUACAUAUUGCUGUCCCGGCUUGCAACGUGUUGUACACUUGGCCUGUUGGCCUUCCAGAUUGCCUAGAAACCUAGAAACUACGUGGAGAACCGGAGGAACGGCACUUAGGAUGUGCAAGCAAUUUCACUUGGAAGACCGAGCUGUCGAGGAUUCGGAAGAAAAGAC